rnacentral:rRNA from 1 species
GAUCCUGGCUCAGGAUGAACGCUGGCGGCGUGCUUAACACAUGCAAGUCGAACGGAACUACUUUGAUGAGAUUCUUCGGAAAGGAUUUGAUUUAGUUUAGUGGCGGACGGGUGAGUAACGCGUGGGUAACCUGCCUCAUACGAGGGGGAUAACAGUUGGAACGGCUGUUAAUACCGCAUAAGCGCACAGUACCGCAUGGUAUGGUGUAGAAAACUCCGGUGGUAUGAGAUGGACCCGCGUCUGAUUAG